rnacentral:lncRNA from 1 species
AAUGGGUUUUUUUCAUGUAAGGCUAGACAGAAGAAAUCUCAGUAACUUCCUUGUGUUGUGUGUAUUCAACUGCCAGGGUUGAACCUUCCUUUAGACAGAGCAGAUUCGAAACACUCUUUUUCUGCAAUUUGCAAUGGAGACUUCAAGCGCUUUGAGGCCAAAGGCAGAAAAGGAAAUAUCUUCGUAUAAAAAACAGACAGAAUCAUUCUCAGAAACUGCUCUGUGAUGUGUGCGUUCAACUCACAGAGUUUAACUUUUCUUUUCAUUCAGCAGUUUGGAAACACUCUGUUUGUAAAGUCUGCAAGUGGAUAUAUUGGCCUCUU